GACGAACGCUGGCGGCGUGCCUAAUACAUGCAAGUUGAGCGCUGAAGGUUGGUACUUGUACCGACUGGAUGAGCAGCGCACGGGUGAGUAACGCGUGGGGAAUCUGCCUUUGAGCGGGGGACAACAUUUGGAAACGAAUGCUAAUACCGCAUAAAAACUUUAAACACAAGUUUUAAGUUUGAAAGAUGCAAUUGCAUCACUCAAAGAUGAUCCCGCGUUGUAUUAGCUAGUUGGUGAGGUAAAGGCUCACCAAGGCGAUGAUACAUAGCCGACCUGAGAGGGUGAUCGGCCACAUUGGGACUGAGACACGGCCCAAACGCCUACGGGAGGCAGCAGUAGGGAAUCGUCGGCAAUGGACGAAAGUCUGACCGAGCAACGCCGCGUGAGGGAAGAAGGUUGUCGGAUCGGAAAACUCGGUUGGUAGAGAAGAACGUUGGUGAGAGUGGAAAGCUCAUCAAGUGACGGUAACUACCCAGAAAGGGACGGCUAACUACGUG
rnacentral:rRNA from 1 species